rnacentral:lncRNA from 1 species
UAAGAAAAACAUUAAGUGGUUUCAAAAUUUUAAGGCUUUGAGUAACGAAACUACAGUUUAAGUGAGAUACAGCCAUUAAGUUGUUGACUUUUUAAGUGUUUAAGGGAUUGCAUGGGACUUAUAAUCAAAUUCAUUUGAAAUAAUAUAUAUUGUUGCAUGCAUCAUCACUCAAUAAUACACAUUACAGAAUAUGGUAGUAAUUAGGAACAACGUGAAAAAAACCAUCAAUCUCAAACGACUGGAAAGGUACUUUCAAAACGAGUGCUGUUUCCGCUGUAAUGUAAACAAAAGUUUUUUUCGGCCUAAGGAUAUAGGAAAACCUAUCUUGUUCAAAAUAACAGGUUUCCAGAAGCUCCAUGACCAUUCCAGUACCUUUUUUAUUUUCACUUGAUGUUAUUUCUGCAACUCUCCAAAACGAAGGGGGGGUUAGUUUAUUAGGAGACAUUUCCCUAAGAAAUACGGUGUUAGUUGCGCAAGUUCUUCCUGCAAUUUGGAAUUUUUUUGCUAAAUAUACGGUUUUUAUGCCAUUAUUUUGUAACAAUUCUUCCCAUUUUGUUUCUUUAAUAUCUAUUUCCUUCAAAUGCUUAUUAUGGAACAGUUUAAUCCCGCCCCCCAAAAAGUUAUUCUCUCCAUCAAUAGAUAUGCUAAGCGCUAACAUUUUUUGGUGACGAGAAGCAAGGCUGAACGGGAUAUUACAAAAAUUACAAUUUCUUUUCAUUACUUUUUUGAAUGGGGCAUUUUUUUACUCAUACCUGUAGCAGGCUGAAUAUCUGGGUGGGCCAAACAUUCUUAUUUGUUCCGUCAUGUGCAGCAGAGCAUGCAAUUUUGGUGUUAUAGCUGAUCCUGAGUCUUCUUUUGGAUAAAGACUCACAAAAGUGCUAUUGUGGAUUUUAAUCUUCAUUUCUAACUCUAACAAGUCUUUUUCGGCAAAGGAAUAGCAUUGCAGGCUUGAAAAAAUUUCAAGCAGCAGAAAAAAAUUCGCGAAAUAUGCAUUGUCGGUGCUUGAAACAUAUUCGCUUAAAAAAAGUGGGAGAAUUAAAGUUAAAGCAGCCAUUUCCGAAGUAGACAUUGAUAAUUUGGUUAAGGUCAAAAUUUCAUCUUUGCGUAACGGAGGAGGCCUUGUAAAUUCCCGUUGUUGAAUCACAUUAGAAAGCUUAGCAUUAAUUUUAUCUAAAUCAACCAUUUCGUUGGUUAAGAGUUUGUUGAACAUUUUACGAACUUCUAAGUUUUCAAUUCCCUCGUCCAGUAAAUGCAUAUUAUCGGAAACAAAACAUUUCGUCACGUCAAAAUAACUUAGCUGUGAAAAUAUUGAUUCUCCGACAACUCCGGUUUUCAUUGACAGAUUUCGUCUGCAUUGUUUGGUGAUUCCAGUUUUCAAAACAUCUUCAAGAUCUUUUGUGUGUGAUUCCUUACUCCUCAUGGAACAAUAAAUUUUCCAUGUCAGUAUUUUCAAUAUAGCAAAAACGACAUGGCUUUUUGGCUGAGGCAGAUUCCUUAAAUCCUGCCACCCAGUUUGAAGCUGGCUUGUCGCCAACAAAAUUCACCUUCAUUUCUUGUCUGUAGGUGAACACCAAAUUGGAGUUUGAGCAAAUCAUCAAUAAUUGGUUGAAGGAAUUGUUGUAAUCCAACUUCUAUCAAUAACUUUGAAUUAAUGACACCAAGAAGUUGAACAGACUUCAAUUGUGAACGCCAUUCUGGAGGAAGGUUCAAACAAGUCCAAUAAAACAAGGGUUGGAUAGUUCAUUAUCAUCUGCAUCGAUUUGAAAGAGGAGUACUUCUCCUCUACCUUCCUAGAGAACAGGAAUAGGAUUCAAAAGUUUAACAACUGCUUCAUGGACCACUCUGAUGGACAGAAAUUGCUUCAAAGCCUCUAGGAAAGGAACAAUGUAGCCUUUCUUUUCCAACUCAGCUAUGUUUUUUCGAAAUCCUAUGCCUUUUGUUCUCUUACUUUUCUUUCCAUUCCACGUAAAACGUCGACUUUUCUCAGUUAAUGAUACCUUUAGUGGGUUUACAGUAGGGAAAUUUCUUGACCCUGACUGUUCAAGUGCAUGACGAGUAAUUGUUGCUUCAUAAUUUUGAGUUUUUUUCUGAUUCUUGCAUUACAGAUAUGUACUCUAGUGAUUCAAGGAUAGGAAGAGGUAAGAUUUUUGAUAG